rnacentral:lncRNA from 1 species
UUCACCGAGAAACCCUGCUUUUGAAGAUCCCUGCAACCAAACCCAGAAAAAAUCAGCAAAAACCACUCACCAGUGGAAACUUAAACAAUGGGGAAGAAAAGCCAAAAAGCUGAGGAAUUAUUACAUUUGAAACAACGAAAUGGUAAAUUUUUUCACUCAAUUUCCCUGUUUUUAUCUCUUUUAUCAUUUUCACAGUUUCAUAAACAGGAUUCUCCCACAAACAACUCCCAUCUUGAACUGCCACUUUCUCUAAUUUCAGCGUCGGCCUCCCAACCUCCUCCGGCACCAACGCUAUCGUUACGGCGGACUUUUUCAACCGUGGCACCUGAAAAAAAAGAGAGGCUAAAUCAGGUAAGAGAUCUUUCAAAAACUCUAAUAAAUUUCUUAACUAGGAAUCUAACUCAGUAGUACCUGAGUUGCCUGAAACUGCAAUUGAAACACUACUUUGAUCUUCUUCUUGUCACUCUUCCAUGCCUUAAACAUCGUUUACUUUUUUUUUUCAGUCGUAUAUAUGCUUUUACUUUCUCUGCUGAAUGUUUGCUGCAAAUCGCACUUAAUGCAUUGGGAUUCUGACUGAAAAAUAAUCCACAAAAAAAGGGGGUAGUUUAUGAACAGCUGGGGGAAUGCUAAAGUGUGGUGAAAGCAAUUAGAUCUUCCAGUCUGUUAAAUUCCUUUAGUUCAGGAAAUUAGAGAUUGUCAAAAUGGAAGAUGACUCAGAGUCAAAAUUAAUAAAUUUAGUGCAUUACAGUGCAAAUAAAGAAGCUUCUUUAUAAUAUAUUAACCAAAAGAAAUCUACUUAUAAUUCUAAGUAAUAAAAGUUUUGGAAUUGGAACGUAGUUUUCUUUUGAUUGCAGCAAGGCACGGGGUGCCAAACUUCAAACCAAACAGAUGGCUGUUUCAUCUUAUAUAAAAUUUAAUAUAUUAAAAAUAUAUUUUAUAUAAAUUUUACAUACUUUUAUAUUAAAUAUCAUAUUAUUUUUAUCCACAGGAUUAGUUAAAAUGAUAAGGAUUUUUUUACUUUAAUUAGUGAUUGAAAGUUCAAUAUUUACUUUGAAUAUAAAUUAAUUUUAAAAUUCAUAAUCAGGAUCUAUUUUCUUAUUAGUAAUUUAAUUUUCUUUAAUAAAAACCUUAAAUUAAAGAAAACAUUAGUGUGUUAUUUCGUAAAAUUAAGUUUGAUCACGAGGAAAACAACGAAAACUAAGCAAAAGAAAGGAAAAAAAAAAAGGCACGGCAGAAGUUAGCACUUAGCUGUUACUUAUCAUAUCAUUAAAGCAUCUUCCUUUUUAUAUUUGUAUCACAUUUAAGAAAGGUAUUGUGGACAUCAAAAUUACUCAUUUUUAGGCAUUUAAUAAAAUUUUAAAUAAUAGUAAAUACCGUACAAAGUGAAAUUGGAAGUGUCCGUUGCAUCAAACCCCAAUAAAAGGAUACAAAUAAUAAUAUUUAAAGAAAAUAAUUAAUAAAUGGUUCUAUUAAAUUUAAUAAAAACAGUAUGAUUAAAUAAAUUCAAUGAAUUAAUUUUCAGUUAGAGCAUUUAACCACUAAUCAAAAGAAAAUAUUAUUGCUUAUUAGGACAGUAUUGUAACUGCCAAAUGAUUAAACCAUGAUUUGACAAAAAUUAUAGAGAUGUGAUUUAAAGGUUUAGAAUUGGAUGGUUUUUGGAAUGGAUAAAUUAUAAUUAUGUGUGGUUUUAGGAAUUAUUGAUUAGCGACAGCGAUGGCCACAUACCGAAACCCUUGAGGUUCGACAAUUCUGAUCCAUGUUUAACAAAAGCUUCAUCGUUUCCAGCAAUGCUAAAAAGGCCUUGACAUUUAUUAUUGGGUGCUUUUUUGUAGGUCAAAUCCCCGCCAAUUUGCUCUGUAACAUGGGUGGAAACACGUUGAUGCAUGUGCUCUCUUCUCUCUCUUGUCCCCACUCACAGACACCCACCUAGACUUUUCUAAGAUUGAAGUUUAUGGGGUUAAUUUGUGGAAGUGAAAUAUUUUAAUUUUAAAAUAAGAGUUAAAUAUUAUCACAUUUUCUAUAAAAAUUGUACUUAUAAGUGGG